rnacentral:rRNA from 1 species
GACGAACGCUGGCGGCGUGCCUAAUACAUGCAAGUAGAACGCUGAAGAGAGGAGCUUGCUCUUCUUGGAUGAGUUGCGAACGGGUGAGUAACGCGUAGGUAACCUGCCUUGUAGCGGGGGAUAACUAUUGGAAACGAUAGCUAAUACCGCAUAACAAUGGAUGACACAUGUUAUUUAUUUGAAAGGGGCAAUUGCUCCACUACAAGAUGGACCUGCGUUGUAUUAGCUAGUAGGUGAGGUAAUGGCUCACCUAGGCGACGAUACAUAGCCGACCUGAGAGGGUGAUCGGCCACACUGGGACUGAGACACGGCCCAGACUCCUACGGGAGGCAGCAGUAGGGAAUCUUCGGCAAUGGGGGCAACCCUGACCGAGCAACGCCGCGUGAGUGAAGAAGGGUUUCGGAUCGUAAAGCUCUGUUGUAAGUCAAGAACGGGUGUGAGAGUGGAAAGUUCACACUGCGACGGUAGCUUACCAGAAAGGGACGGCUAACUACGUG